GUCUACGGCCAUACCACCCUGAACGAGCCUGAUCUUGUCUGAUCUUGGAAGCUAAGCAGGGUCGGGCCUGGUUAGUACUUGGAUGGGAGACCACCUGGGAAUACCGGGUGCUGUAGGCU
rnacentral:rRNA from 1 species